rnacentral:rRNA from 1 species
GACGAACGCUGGCGGCGUGCUUAACACAUGCAAGUCGAACGAACAGCUAUGGAAGCUUGCUUCUAUCAAUUAUAGUGGCGAACGGGUGAGUAACGCGGAAUCAACCUGCCCUUCAGAGGGGGACAACAGUGGGAAACGACUGCUAAUACCGCAUACGAUCUAAUCUCGGCAUCGAGGAUAGAUGAAAGGUUGCCCCUACAUGUAAACUAUUAAUGAAGGAGGGCAUUGCGUCUGAUUAGCUAGUUGGAGGGGUAACGGCCCACCAAGGCGAUGAUCAGUAGCCGGUCUGAGAGGAUGAACGGCCACAUUGGGACUGAGACACGGCCCAGACUCCUACGGGAGGCAGCAGUGGGGAAUCUUCCGCAAUGGACGAAAGUCUGACGGAGCAACGCCGCGUGAGUGAUGACGGCCUUCGGGUUGUAAAGCUCUGUUAAUCGGGACGAAAGGCCUUCUUGCGAAUAGUGAGUAGGAUUGACGGUACCGGAAUAGAAAGCCACGGCUAACUACGUG